rnacentral:rRNA from 1 species
GAUGAACGCUGGCGGCGUGCCUAAUACAUGCAAGUCGAGCGAAUGGAUUAAGAGCUUGCUCUAUGAAGUUAGCGGCGGACGGGUGAGUAACACGUGGGUAACCUGCCCAUAAGACUGGGAUAACUCCGGGAAACCGGGGCUAAUACCGGAUAACAUUUUGAACCGCAUGGUUCGAAAUUGAAAGGCGGCUUCGGCUGUCACUUAUGGAUGGACCCGCGUCGCAUUAGCUAGUUGGUGAGGUAACGGCUCACCAAGGCAACGAUGCGUAGCCGACCUGAGAGGGUGAUCGGCCACACUGGGACUGAGAGACGGCCCAGACUCCUACGGGAGGCAGCAGUAGGGAAUCUUCCGCAAUGGACGAAAGUCUGACGGAGCAACGCCGCGUGAGUGAUGAAGGCUUUCGGGUCGUAAAACUCUGUUGUUAGGGAAGAACAAGUGCUAGUUGAAUAAGCUGACACCUUGACGGUACCUAACCAGAAAGCCACGGCUAACUACGUGCCAGCCGCCGCCGUAA